rnacentral:snRNA from 1 species
AUCUUAGCUAAAAGGAUGAGAAGCUCAAGUGUAGUAUCUGUUCUUUUCAGUUUAAUAUCUGAUACAUCCCCAUCUGAGGAUAUUAAUAAGAUUAGUAAAUUCAUAGACUCAUAGGCUGUCUACACUGGCAAGUUAGUUAGAAUUAAGGAGGCUUAAUUCCAACAAACGAAAGCCAUGGCUACACUAGGCUUUAAUUAGUUCAAAUUAA